CGUGUAGGCGGUUUUUUAAGUCUGGAGUGAAAGUCCUGCUUUCAAGGUGGGAAUUGCUUUGGAAACUGGAGAACUUGAGUGCGGAAGAGGUAAGUGGAAUUCCCAGUGUAGCGGUGAAAUGCGUAGAGAUUGGGAGGAACACCAGUGGCGAAGGCGACUUACUGGGCCGUAACUGACGCUGAGGCGCGAAAGUGUGGGGAGCAAACA
rnacentral:rRNA from 1 species